GACACGCUGGCGGCGUGGAUUAGGCAUGCAAGUCGAACGGUAGGAUACCUUCGGGUAUCUGAGAGUGGCGAACGGGUGAGUAACACGUAGGUGAUCUACCCUCAAGAUUGGGACAACCCAGGGAAACUUGGGCUAAUACCGGAUGAAAGCAGCAGUGAUGUUGUUUGAAAGGUGGCGUAAGCUGCCGUUUGGGGAUGAGCCUGCGCUCUAUUAGUUAGUUGGCGGGGUAAAGGCCCACCAAGGCGAUGAUAGAUAGGCGGCCUUAACGGGUGGUCGCCCACACUGGGAUUGAGAUACGGCCCAGACUCCUACGGGAGGCAGCAGUCGAGAAUAGUCUACAAUGGCCGAAAGGCUGAUAGUGCGACGCCGCGUGAACGAAGAAGCCCUUCGGGGUGUAAAGUUCUUUUAUAUGUGAGCAGUGCUUUUUAUGUGAAUAGCAUGAGAAGAGAGAUAUUAGCAUAUGAAUAAGCAACGGCUAACUCCGUG
rnacentral:rRNA from 1 species